UUAGGGUCUUCUGUGACCUUAAUCCCAUGUGACUCGGCCACAUCCAUGGUUUUAAAGUAAAAAUCCCCUGCUCUGCUACCAACCACAUCCAAACAAUGUAAUAAUGUCAGUGGUGCAAAUCAGUACCUUUUUAUUAUUGCUUUCUCUCUUUUUGCUGUGUGUGUGUGUGUGUGUGUGUGUGUGUCAUCUUUCUUCGGCCUGUUUCCAUCUUUUAAAGGCUGCACUGGCUUUUUGAGUGCACAUUCACGGGGCUCAGGUUGUUACACAGCAUGGAGACCCAUUCGCAGAAAGAGCCUGCUCAAAUCCAUUAGAAGAGCGAAAUCUCAAAGGAUGAUGAAAUGGAUGUGAGGCAGCAUGCGGUAAGGAACAUUUAGCUGUCUUUCUUCAGUACGCUCAACAUUUAUUCUGACAUCAUAUCCAAUGGGUAAUGUCUGUUAAUUCCAGUAAAACAUAAACACCACUAUCCCGUAUGAAUGUGGUGCACGAAAUAUAGACGUGGGGUUUGUCAUUUCAAAAUCAAAUGAGCUCCCCCGGUUGUACAAAUUCUGUGGGAAUAGGGCUAUCAGUGCUGAAAAGAAGCAUGAUAGGAUUUUGCCCCAGGAGUCUCAUUGUGGGCUGUGCUUAUUAUUGAUUUAAUAUUGAACCGAAUAGUGUUAGUGUCUGUGGUUUCUCAGGGAUGAUAGUAAUGCUAAGAAAUCAAAUAUUUCAAGGUCAGAUGCAAACGUUAUCCAACAGACUCCAACAAAGUUCUAAAGUAUGUGUAUCUCUUAUUAACCAGGCAGAUUUGGUGUAUAGGAACAGCUUGUGGGAGUCAUUCAUCUUAUCAGCCCUUGCUGGAAAUAGUCCAGCAAUCUACCAAAAUAAAAGCAAGGCUUUCCUCUGUUCCACUGAGUCGGUGUAACUUAUACUGAUGCCAGCGCCUGGUGAUUUCUCCAAAUGCUGCCAUCUUGGUGAAAUUCUUGGGAGCCUGCUGCAGUUUAGAGAUAAGGAAGUGAGGAAUAGUAAAGUCUGUCCAGUGCUGUGAUUAAGGACAGUCACCUUCCUGUGCGCAAUCUUCAUCUUGUGACUGAUCUCUGCACGACUGAGGUCAAGUACAUUAAAGACUCUAGCUCCGGCUCUGUGUAUGUCAAUCUGAAAUUGCAUAAAUAUUGAUGUCAAAAGACGUGCAUUCACUAGCGGAAGAGAAGCUACGGUGUGGGGUAGAAUCGUACUCCUUAUGACUGUUGGGAUUUUAUUUCCACUCUUUGUUCACUCCCUCCCUUCCUUCAUAAGGGCACCUCAUCAGAUCGUUGGCCUCAAUCUGUUCUGAAGCUCAAAGGUCACUCAAUCACCAAGGACCCACACGUCAGGUCCUAUCAGUAAACCAGGCUCCUGGUAGGAGGAAUUAAUUCAUCUGUUUUCAUCUCCUUGGACACUUUUCUUCAUUUACCAUUCAAAAAAAAAAAAAAAAAAAAAGCAGACUGUGUGGAAGCCGAAUAAAGCAAAAGCAAUAAUUUCCCAACCUCCUCUCCACACUUUUUGUUUUUAACGUUUUAUAAGAUAUGUGAACAUAUAAAUCCAGACAAUUAGUAGAGGUUGAUGAUGGCUUGCAAAAACGAUAUGUAGAUAUGCGCUGGAGUGCGUUUUUCAUCACUCAGACUAAAGGAAGGACUGAUUAGGUUUGGUGAAAGAUCAAGGUGUCUGUGACCUCAUGCACAUCCUUUCUUGAGAACACAAUAAAGCCUGAGGGGAUUUUGUGAUGCUUCGCUGUUUUAAAAUAAAAAUGUUUUUGCCCAUAAGUCAAGAGUUCAUUUACUGAUUGUGACAAAAGCGCUCUCACAUGUCUAAUAGGAUAAGAUGAUGAAGUGAUGACAUUUUAUAAAAGUCAGACAUGCGUGGAUCUGACCUGCUGGUUUCACUGGUUAGUUAACGUAUACGACAUCUAGGCAGUAAUUGUUUACGGCAGCUGACUCCCGUCUAAAUCAGUGAGAUCAAGCGUGGUGCUGACGGGCGGCAGAAAAGAGCGUAACAGAUUUAGAGCAAAGUAAUUUCCCUCGAGUAUGGUAAGGUGUGCACAGUAUUAAAGACAAAAAGUGCAGAGGCAUGAUGCGACAAAGAUGCAUUUUUGCAAAUUUAUGCAAAGGUGUGAGCGUGUGGGUGGCUUUUUUCUGUUUGUUUUUUUUUUUUAAUUUAUUUAUUUAUUUUUGAUACACUUGUAGCCACCACACCUCCCUUAAACACACCCACCACAUGCCAUGCCAGCUGCAGCUGUUGUGCCUCAAUGCUGGAGAUGUACAAAAUUCCUCUCCCUCUGCAAUUAGAGCUGGAGAUUGCUGAAUAGCACACAUUGCAAUGUCCUAAAAUUGCUCUUGCUCUCCUUUCUUGCUCCCGAGAACUCUGAGUAAAUAGAAAGCGAUGAGAGCGAAUCGCGAAUAAACUGGCCCCGUCUGCCUCCGAGUUGACAGAUUGUGCGAGCUGAUUGUGCGAGCUGCUCCUUGUGAUGUGCCGUUACCCGGUUAAAGAAACCAAAGGGUGGAAAAAGGCCUCAUUGAUAGGGUGGGUUUCUCAUGCCUGACUGGGAAUGUUCGCUUUCCACAGAGUCAAGUGGUGCAUUGUGAUCUCAACCAAAGAAAUGCAAAUAUAUAGAACAGAUGUACUACUUCUUUUCUUCCUCCCCCGUUUGUCGGCAGGAGUAAUCUCUCACUCUGGUGGAAAUUGUGUUGGGUGCACUCUGGGUGCAAGACUAAAGUGUUAACAAGGGAAAAGCCAUGUCACCCUGGCACAUGUGAUGGCUGCCUGCCUUUCAGGGCCUUUUCUCAAUAAGGCUAGAUGCUCAGGAGAGAUAAAUGGAGGCUUUUGUGGCCUUUGCCAGAGGGAGAACUGCACAAUGCAGGACACACACAGAGCGAGGUCUUUUCCAGAGAAAAUGGUUAAAAGCAGCAUUUCUACAGUCCCUCCUCCUUUCCCUCGCUUUCACUCACUCCUUCACUUUUCUCAUGUCUCUCGCUCUUACCCGCUCACUCUCCAAAUCUUUUCCUCCUCCGUGAGAACUGAACCUUGCUCCCAUAAUGUUUCCAUAAACGGGCUGAGGGAAUGGAAAUAACUCGGACCAUUUCCCAUCUCCUCCUUCUAUCCAUCCUCCCCCCACUUGCAGUC
ensembl:lncRNA